rnacentral:rRNA from 1 species
AAUGGCCGCAGUAUUUUGACUGUGCAAAGGUAGCAUAAUCAUUAGUUUCUUAAUUAGGAACUGGAAUGAAAGGUUGGACGAGAAAAUAACUGUCUCUUUAUAAAUUAUUUAGAAUUUUAUUUUUAAGUUAAAAAGCUUAAAUAUUUUUAAAAGACGAGAAGACCCUAUAGAGUUUUAUAUAGAUUUAUUUAAUAGUUUAAUUUGAAUUAUUAAAAUUUUAUUUAAUUUUAUAUUUGAUUGGGGUGAUUGAAAAAUUUAUUUAACUUUUUUUUUAUAUAAACAUUAAUAUAUGAUUUAUUGAUCCAUAAAUUAUGAUUAUAAGAUUAAAUUACCUUAGGGAUAACAGCGUAAUUUCUUUUUAGAGUUCAAAUCGAUAAAGAAGUUUGCGACCUCGAUGUUGGAUUAAAAUUUAAUUUUGGUGUAGAAGCUAAAAAAAUUAGGUCUGUUCGACCUUUAAAAUUUUACAUGAUCUGAGUUUAAACCGGUGUGAGCCAGGUUGGUUUCUAUCUUUAAAAAAUUUAAAUAUUUUAGUACGAAAGGACCAAAUAUUAAUAAAAUUUAUUUUAAUAUGAAUAUUAUUAAUAAU